CUUCUCUGGCUUCUCCUCUGCCACCAGCCUCUACCCUUUCUACCUGUUCUAAACGGUCCUCUGAGCUCGGCAGUCCAGGCCCAGUAUCUUCCUCACGGAAAAAAAAGACAAAUAAAGAGCAAAGCAGAUCAUAAAGAAUGCCCCAUGCAUAAAGAAUCAACCAGUUUCCCCUACAAAAAACUGUUGAGGAAAAGAAUCAGGGAGGGUCAUGCGGAGGUGUUGGUGCAGUGGCAUCCUUGCUCUGGAUGCUGUGGAUAUUAUUUGAAGUUUACUGUACUGUAGAAAAUUGAC